rnacentral:rRNA from 1 species
GACGAACGCUGGCGGCGUGCUUAACACAUGCAAGUCGAACGGAAAGGCCCUGCUUUUGUUGGGUGCUCGAGUGGCGAACGGGUGAGUAACACGUGAGUAACCUGCCCUUGACUUUGGGAUAACUUCAGGAAACUGGGGCUAAUACCGGAUAGGAGCUCCUGCUGCAUGGUGGGGGUUGGAAAGUUUCGGCGGUUGGGGAUGGACUCGCGGCUUAUCAGCUUGUUGGUGGGGGAGUGGCUUACCAAGGCUUUGACGGGUAGCCGGCCUGAGAGGGUGACCGGCCACAUUGGGACUGGGAUACGGCCCAGACUCCUACGGGAGGCAGCAGUGGGGAAUAUUGCACAAUGGGCGGAAGCCUGAUGCAGCAACGCCGCGUGCGGGAUGACGGCCUUCGGGUUGUAAACCGCUUUCGCCUGUGACGAAGCGUGAGUGACGGAAAUGGGUAAAGAAGCACCGGCUAACUACGU